UCUGACAGUUUGGUGUUGGAGGGAAGAGAAGAUUUGAAAAACUGAGAGAACACUGAGUUAUCCUGAUUGGGUUGUUUAAAAAAACACCAAACUGUUGGAGUAAAAUUGUGUAUAUAACUAACCAGUAAAAUUGUUUAUAACUUUGCCAGCUAACUUGGCAAAGAGGCAUCUUUUAACGUGGCAAUUCUCUUUAUUUAGCAGGGGGAGAGUAACUGGCCCUAUCCACCCCCAGCACAGUACCUCCAGUGACUGUUGCUGGGGUCUAUCUUAUGUUUCUUCUUAGAUUGUGAGCCCUUUGGGGACAGGGAUCCAUCUUAUUUAUUUAUUAUUUCUGUGUGUAAACUGCCCUGAGCCAUUUUAGGAAGGGCGGUAUAGAAAUCGAAUAAAUAAAAUGAGAGAGAGAGACUGAGUUUGGAAGUCACCACUGAGAAAAGAGUCAGAGACAGUGUCAGAGCCAAUAAGAAUCAAGAGGAGAGUGUCAGGAAGGCAGAGUUGGUGCAGUGGAGUGCUGUGCAGAACUGUGAUUCAGAAGAAGAACCAGUGUGGUUCAGAGUCUGAAGACACAAGCAAUAGCUGAAAACCAUGGCUGAAAACACAGAACCACCAGUCUGGAUUUAACUCCAGGCCGGUAAAAGUGACUAAGACCUGAGCUGCGGAAGGAACAAGCCAAGUUGCUGACAAAAGAAGUUGCAGAGUUCUGAAGGAAAAUAAAAACACAGAAGUGAACAGUGAACAUACCAGAUGAGAAUGGGGAAUAAAAUUUACACAAAGGCCUAGAAUAUUAUGUUCUGUUUUAUAUGUGUUUGAAGAGCAAGGGCUUUCUAAUCUCAUAAUAUUUCCUACCAUCUGAGAAAAAGAAUCUGCAUUCUGCAGUUACUUGAAUAAUAAAAUCAUUCAUUCUGCCUGUAUCUUGCUCUAAUGCUGAUAAUAUUUUCAAUAAAUUAAUUAAAGCCCA